CCUCAGAUGCUCAGGUGUUUAAAGAGAAGUAGGGUCCCUCCCCCUUUCUGGGAAGGAAGGACCCUUAAAUUUAACAGAUACCUGCUUUCUGUGGAUCCUGCUGUGUACCUUUUCCAGAUCAAUAUGCUGAAUCAUAGAAGGAGAUUCUACAGAAAUUAAGACACUCAGAGUGAUCAUUGUAAUUCUACAAUUUACCACAGAAUACACUAAGGGACUGGGAGAGGCAGCUAUAUUAAAGAAGCUGGAUAUUGCACUCCAGUUUAAAUCAAAACAAUAAUCUCUAAGCUUCUAAAACAGAGUUUCCAUAGUAACAUGUCUUCAAGUAUGGGAAUAUGCAUCCAUAAAUAAGUCAUUUUAAGAAUUUUCAGUCUCUUUUUUCAUUCAGAGAAGCAUCCAUCUUCAGGUUCUAAUUCACAGCUCAAGUAGCCCCACAGCUCAAGUGGUGUGGAACUGACACUCACAGCAUAGUCUGCUAGCACAGUCUUUAUUCACAAAACACUGCACUCUUCCCUCAGAUAUUUUAAUUUAUUCAAGCAAACAAUAUAAGCAGCUUUUGAAAUUUUGUAGCAUGUUGAUACAAAUUUUCAGGACCUUUACAACCUUUCAAUAAAUUUAAGGGCUGUGGGAAGUUUUACAUAUUUGGAUAGGCUUGUCUAAACAAAAAUGUGUGGUUUUUUUAGCAGGCAGCAAAAAGGGUACAGUGAAGGAACCUGCCUGAGAUCAACAGGCAGGGAGUUCAAAGGUGUAGGUGCUGCCACACUAAAAUAUCUAUUUCUUAUAAAUGCACAAUGAGUAUGAUGUGGCAGCUGUAACAGUGGCAGUUCUGCAGCUUGAAGUGGUCAAGUGGGCAUGUGCACCAAUAUGCUUAUAAAAUUAUUCUUCAGAAAUAUAGUACAACAUGGUGUUUGCCUUUUUAAUACAGAUCAUUUGCAUCUUACGCCCAUUUAACUCACGCAAUUUCAACCAUAUUCCAUUGAGGGUUGGCUGGCUGAAGUUCUGCAAGUUAUGUGUGAGCAAAGCAGAGAGCUUAAAAGCUCUUUUUGCACUGGGCUUUCAGGGCACAAAAAGAGCUUUAGAGUUCUCUGCCUUGCUUGGAAAGCAAAGCCCUCUUGGCACACUGGUUCUGGAAUGUUCUUCCGUGAUCUCACUGGGCUGCCUGAGUUCCCACAAGAUCUUGCACAAGCAUCCCUAGUCUUCUGGAGCCAGCACACCAAGAGGGCCUUACCCCCAAGCAAGGCAGAGUGCUUAAAAGUUCUUUCUACGCUGGGUCUGCUUGGGUUACCAAAUAUCUUUGGCCCCAAAUAUCUGAAGAAAUGCCUGCUUCCAUCACAACCUAUCCAAAUGCAAAGAGGCUCUGUUAAGUGGCAUGCAUAAGAAGGGCUUUUGUGCAAUGGCCCCUAGCUCACAAAAUAUCCUGCCUUCUGCAGGGCAUCUUACACCAUCAUAAAUGUCCAUCCCUGCAGUCUUGCUCUAGUCUUUUUAUCUCUUCAGGAAAUGACACUUGAAAAGAGGAGUCAAAACUCAGAUAUCUGAAGAACAGGGGUGUGGGGAGAGCGGUGAGGAGAAAUUCCCCCUGAAAGAAAUACACAGCCACUUUUUUUCUUUCCUUUUUUUCUUUUUGCCUCUCUGUUGCCUUUCUAAUAAUGCCCGCAGAGUUAGAGGUCUCCUAACUUGAGAAGAUUUCUGUGUAUAUAUUAUUGGCAGCAAGACCUCUCCAAGGAAAAGAAGAGCAUAUUUUGCUUUCCACAAAGCAAGCGACAAAGGAGGAAAGGCAUAAUUAGACGGAAAGCCUAUAAAACAGAUACAGCCAUGUAACAACCUUUGUCUUCCUUGUUUCAACAGACUGUAAAUGAGACGGUGACAGACAAGUGCUCCCAGCAAAAUGCAAUCUGUAAGGUUCAAUGUUUUUAACUUCCUGAGUCUGCAACCAAGGAUGAAAUCUUGCCCUUAUUAAAGACAACAGAGAGAAGAAAAGGUAAUAUUGGAUGCAGUGAAGUGAAAAUUUCAAUUCAUUUUCCCCCAUAAGUUUUAUUUAAUGUCCAGAAAGGAUGAAAAGGAGUUUCCCUGUUUACCUUUUUGGUUGUUUUCCUUCUUCCAGAACUGCUUUUCCUGCUCUGCAUAGGAUAACUCUGGUGUUUUGCAUACAAUGCUCUGCAUUUCAUACAUUAUGCUAAAAGAGACUAUGAAAAGAUAUUGUUUUUGGCAUAUCCUUCAUGGGAGACCCUGUUUGAUGGAGAAACUCUUGUUUUCUGACUAAUCCAGACCUUGAGGCCAGAGCUAUAGUGCAUGAAUCCAGACAACCUAGCAUCAUUCACAACAGAGAGAGGUCAAUUGGAAUCACACUGGAGUUUGAUUUCUGACGUUCUUCUGGUGUUCGUUUUUUAGUAGAGGAACAAAGAAUCCGUCCUUGUUAUAGGAUUGUGAGAGGGGUACUUUUGUUUUUUAAAAAAACAAGUUUCGUUUUAUUUUUUAAAUGCAUUUGUUUAUUUGUGUACGCUAUAGAUUUGUAAAUCGCUUUGAGGCUUUUUUGUGGAAACCCAUGAAUAAAUAAAUACUAACUAUUGGGUUUGAACUGCUUUCAAAACAGGCAACAGCUAACAAAAGUAUUUUGUGGCAGCCUCAUCUGUGUCUGGGUUGAUCGUUCUCACAUUCAAACAUUACUCCAGGCUGUUGUUUCAUUGCUUUCCCCCAUCCCAACCCCACAAAACUGUUGCUUGGUCCUAACCCUUCAUCACAAAAGGAAUAUGCAAUUUAGCUGCAAGAGUAAAAAAUAAAAAUUUAAAAACCAUUGAUAUUCACUAUUGCUGUCUCUAUUACGCGGCCUUUGAAGAUGGCCACAUAUCAAGUGCUCAGCACUUACAUAUUAAGAUGUGUGGAUUUUUUUCUUUUGACAGAAGGCUCAUCAUUUGUGCCCAAAUUUGUAUCAAACCGCACAACAUACACAGUUGUGUUUGGGAAAGAAUACAUUGGGAUUCUUAGCAUAAAUAACUCAGAGGUAAAAUCUAGGGCAUGAUCUAGUGAAAAGCAAGAAGACUUAAAUCUGCUGGUUGCAAUGGGAGAGAUUUAAGUGUGUGCUGAGAUCUCCCUCUGAAAUCUAUGGCACUGCUCAGAGUCUGGUUUUGGUUAGAGCCUGACUUCAUAAUUAAAUCCUUUUGCGGAUUAUUUGGGCUAGCCUUUGAUGUACUCUCGGUGGAAGAGCAGCUUCCAUACAAAUAAAAAUGGAUGGCGCCAGAGGCAUAGUUUAAGUAGUGCAACUUGAAGCAGCUCUCAGAUUAGAAAGGUACGCAUUCUUGCUUCACUUGGUUUUACAGGGUUUUGCUUUCAUGAAAACUCCUUGAGUGGUGUUGCAGUGAGUGCUUCUUCUGCACCCUGCAAGCCACAGCGGAUACAUAAAAUUCUCCAGAAAUAUCACAGACAUUUAUUUUAAAGAAGGAGCAGCUUUUGUCCAUUUAUUUCCUCUUUCUCCUGCCUGAUAGAACUGGCAUGCCAAUGAUGUGCUAGCUUUUAUAUUGUGUCCAGUAUCUGGCCAGCUACAAAAUGCCAUUGCCUCCAUUUUUUUCAGCGUGCACCAAUAUGAAUAAAAAAUUAGAAAGAAAGGGAAGGGCAUUCAGAAAGAGACAUUUCCCACAUCCUGGCUCCUCACAGGAAGCUUUUAACCUGCCUCCCCCCACCCCCACCCGAGAGCAAUCUCUUUUCAUUGCAUAACUACCUUUGCAAUUCUGGGACACGGCCGAACUGCAGCUUUUUGUGUUCCCUGGAGGCAUAGGAAGCAACAGUUCCCAAUUCUAGGCUGCAUCAACAGAAGGAUAGCAUCCAGUUCAAGGGAAGUAACCGUGCCACCCUAUUCUGCCUUGAUCAGACCCCACCUGGAGUACUGUGUCCGGUUCUGAGCACCUCAAUUUAAUAAGCAGUAUGACAAGUUGGAAUGUGUGCACAAGAGGGUGACAAAGGAUCUGGAUACCAAGACUUACAAGGAACAGUUGAAGAAACUGGGUACGUUUAGCUUGGAAAAGGAGGGACUGAGGGGUGACAUGACAGGGCUGUCCCGUGGAAGAUGAAGCAAGCUUGUUUUCUGCUGCUCCAGAGGGCAGGACCCAAACCAAGGGGUUCAAGUCACAAGAAAGGUGAUUCUGACCUCAACAACAGGGAGAACUUUUGAUGGUAAGAGCAGUUUGACAGUGGAACAAACUACAGUGGUACCUCAGGUUACAUACGCUUCAGGUUACAGACUCCACUAACCCAGAAAUAGUGCUUCAGGUUAAGAACUUUGCUUCAGGAUGAGAACAGAAAUUGUGCUCCAGCGGCGCGGCGGCAGCGGGAGGCCCCAUUAGCUAAAGUGGUGCUUCAGGUUAAGAACAGUCUCAGGUUACGAACGGAUCUCCGGAACGAAUUAAAUACUUAACCUGAGGUACCACUGUACAGAGCCCUACACUGGGCAAAAGAUUCCUGUAUUGAAAGGGCUUGGACUGGAUAAUCCUUGGGGUCCCUUCAAACUCUACAAUGCUAUGAUUCUAUGAAAGGGAGGCACUUCCCUCCAUCCCAGGAUACCCUGGUAGAAAGCUAGUCAUCUGGGUGGCACAUGACUGGCUCCCAUUGGCUGGAAGGUCUAGAGAUUGAUUUUUUUGGAGAAUCUUAGUAGUAGAAUCAUGAGGGUCAUCAAAACCAACCGCCUUCAAUGCAGGAUUUUUUUUUUGCCCAAUGUGGGGCUCAAACCCACAACCCUGAGAUUAAGAGUCUCAUACUCUACCAACUGAACUAUCAGAGACUACUAUUGAAGUUAUCCACUCAGAUCCUCACCCCCAAUUUCCAACUUGUUCCUUGAUAACCAUGAGAGGCUUAUUAUCUUUUUAUUGUUUCCACUAAAAGUAUGGACAAUGUUCACUUUACUAUAAUAAACAUAUUAUAGUCAUAUACCCUCCAGGUUCCUAAAGUAACCAGUGCAAGAACAAAUACAUAUUAAAAUACAUAUAACUGUAUUUGCAUAACUGCAAAUACUUCUGCAUUCAUCCUUCUAAAAUGAUGCUGCAAAACUAUUAUCAGUAUUAUUGAUAAAAUUUGUAUAUUGCCCUCCGUCUGGAAAUCUCAGGGUGGUUUACAACAUUAAAAGACAAGAUAAAAAUCGCUAAAUUCAUCAUAUAAACAAGAACAAAAGCGAACCAAUAACACCCCUCCCCCCUCCCACAACAAGUUUAAAAGGCAUGCCCAUAUAAAUGCUUAUAUCCAUUUUGUUGUUGACAGACAGGUAGCUCAGCCAGUAGAGCACGAGACUCUUAAUCUCCAGGGUCGUGGGUUUGAUUCCUGCAUUGUAGGGGGCUGGACUACAUGACCGUCAUGGCCCCUUCCAACUCUACAAUUCUAUGAUUCUUCAGCGAUUAUUCCAUGGCAGAAAGACUCUAGGCCAGAUCUCUUCAUGUGUUGUGCCUUGUUAUAUAAUUGUGUGAUUACAGCUGCAUGUGGAGGAAAGGAGGACUUCAGUCACUGGCUGAGCCAAAGCCCUCUGCCAGGCCUCCUUCCCUCCAUCCAUGUGUUGAGGUGGAAAGUCCCAGAUAGGGAGCGAUGCUCCACAUGUCUAGGGAUCUCCAUAUGGUUUAGAACUCUCUAAAUGGCACAGGAAGCCUAUGCACAUAAAGCAUGCUACUUUCUUCAGACUCUGCCCACCCCAAAAAACAUGUAGGGGCCUGGCAACAGGGUGUGGCAACAGGGAUGAGGCCAGCGCAGGUUCUGUUCCACAUGUGAUUGUAAGCAUCAAGGCAUAAUGCCUGAACAAGGCCAAAUCUGCCAAAUCUGUCAUCUGACAAUUACAUUGUUUCAGGCUGUUUUAUGGGAAGCAAUUCAUAAAUGAAGUAAACAAAUAAAGUGGCAAUGGUGUUUGGGUCAUUUUGUAGAAAAUGAAUCUUGCAACCAAUUAUUUAUAAAAUAUAAAAAGAAAUAUAAUAAUUACCAGGAUGUGAUGAAAGCAAAACAAAAGUCACUCUUUUUAAACCAGUGCUUCUAUUUUAAACUAUUCCACCUCCACCCCCCACCCCUUUCUGCUCUAUAAGGUUUUGGAAUGAAAACAUUCUUUUGAGAAAUGCUUCUAAACAGCUUUUCUUGUUAACACUAUCCCUGGUCUUUUAAAAAUAAACACUUUCACAAAAUUAUUUCAGCACACGUAAGCAGCCUAUUCUGUGACAAAUAUGACAUUAACUGCUAAGGCCUACUGUGUAUUUAUUUACUGCAAGUUUCCUGAUGAUACUUGAUAAGAUAGUUCUUUUAAGCAGAUGUACUGUGCAGAUUGAAAAUGCCUUUCAGUUUAAAACAACCUGGCAAUGAUUUAUCUUUCUGUAAAAAGCAGAGCUUAUUUAGAAACAAUCACUCUCUAAAAGACCUGGGGCACUUCCACUUAACCUGUUUAUUGAUCCUUCAUCCUGAUUUGCUUGCAGGGAGAUUAGACAACACUGGCUAUUUAAUGAGCCUUCAUUCUGAUUUCUUUUAAGGAAAGGUUGGAUGAUGUUUUGUAAAUGCAAGUGUAAAUGCCCACACUUUCCAGUACAUUUUCACAUCACUUUCCUUACUGCAAAAAGUCUGAUCUUUUGGAGAACUCACUGGUUCUACACUGAAUGACUAUUGGUUUGUUGCACAGAUAUGCAUUUCAAGUUUCAAGGCGCAAGUCUCUUUUUGUAAAAAGAGUGAUUGCUGCAUGAUGCUAUAAUUUUAUUUCAAGGUAUUGGAGCUGGUGUCAGAGGUUGGCAGAGUUGGGUUCCUGCCAAGGCCCACACCUUGUUAAAUAUAAUUGUUUAAUUGCACCCUGAAAUGGAGAAUGCCUGUAUGCAGGUUGUAAAAGGUUUAACAUUGGAAAAUUCCAUUUGAGUAUACUAAGCUAGAAAGAGCACUCUCUAAGCUUCUGAGUUGAUCAUUAACUGUUGGUGUUCUCUGCUAGCCUUUGAGUGAGUGUUUAACCUUAGAUCAUGUGAUUAAGGUAUUCAAUUGCAAAUCUCCAUCUUGAAGGGAGUUGCAAGUUAAUCUUUCCCUGGACGUCACAGAGAACAAAAGGAUGUGAUCAUCGCUCUCCAGGAGCUAUGUAGCCUUAGGCUGGAUGCAGGUUUAUGCAAGCUAUGGGAGAGACAAAGACUUUAUUUUUACACUAAUCAUUAUAUAUAUAUAUAUAUAUAUAUAUAUAUAUAUAUAUAUAUAUGAACCUAUGCUUGAAUAUGCAUGUGAAUUAUACAACUUUCUGGAUGUAUCAUUGAUGGUUUUGUACCUGUUUUUGAAGAAGUUCUGAUUAGUAAAGCUUUGAGUAAUACUUAUGGGUCCAAGAGGAGUCAGUUUUUAUGUUCCAAUUGCUUCAUGCUGCACAAUAUUAAUAUGUGCAAUGCACCUCAGAAGAGGGUCCACAGCACAUCUGACGACCAGAGCCCCUAACCUCACUGGUGCUUCUCUUGCAAUUUCUGCCUUUAUACCUGUGGUCUCCCUCUAGCCAAGAGAGUGAGAGUGAGUAACAGGGUGAAUGAGUGAGUGGAGCAAGGAGAAGGAACAACUGCUUCUGCUCACUUUCAUACUUGCUCUUUUAUCCCCAAGGCAGAGGGAGAAUAAAUGGGAGCAUCUUCCUCUAGGUCAGUUUCAAACACUGGCUAUGAGCUGUAAGCACGGACUUUAUGUAGAGCUUCACAAACAAGAUCUCUGAACACUGCACUUUAACAAUAAACAAAAAUAUAUAAAUCGAAGAUAAAGUUGAUUGUUCAAUGGAGCUGAGGACUUUAAAAGCUAUCCUGCUAUGUUUCCUAGCAACCAAAGCAUUUAAUCCCUUUCUCAAUACUGUCUCAAGCAUUUAUGUCUCGACUGCAUUUUUUUGUAACUAUUUAGGAAUCUCUUUGAAUUUUAAGGUUGUUUCGCUGGGGGAACUGAUAGCAUAUAGACUGCUCAAAUAAAUUUUCUUUGGUAUUCAGUCCAAGUGUGUGGCCUGCUGAAUUAUUUGGUUUUACACAAGAGUAAGGUAAACUUGGGGGGGGGAUUAAUGAAUGUGGGUUUUUUAACAGCUCCCAUGCUUGGGCCCACUCAGCUAACACUUAUCCAGAGAAGCACAAGGCCAUUAAAAGGUGUAGUUCACAGUUAAUUUAGCAUACAUGAAUUCAACCCAGCAAGGAUGUAUUGAAAAAUCCAUUCAAGUUCUCUCCUAAGUCAAUUUUAUACAUUCGCUGAACACAAUAACCUAUUGCAGGCUUUAUUUUCAUCAUUAUUCCACUACAACAGGGGAGCCAUUGUCACCUUUUUUUUAUGAAGUUACCUGACACAUAAUUCAGCCGAGACUUACAUAACUGUUCCUAUAACUAAAUGUGGUCCAAUUUUAAAAUGUAGGACAGUUCAGUAACAUAAACAUGCAUACAUAUUCCCUGAAAAUGUGGGGGGAGAGCUGGAAAUUGCCAAGAAGUAACAGUGUUUAUGUGGGAGUGGGGCACUGACAUCAUGCCCUAUUUCCGGUCUUCCCCCAAAGCAUUAGUAACUUCAAGAUUUGAUUAUUGUAAUGGGCUUUAUAUGGAGAUGCCCUUCUAUCUGAUCUGGAAGUUGCAACUGGUACAGAAUACAACACCCAUCGUCCUCACAGAAGCAGGUUACUGGAAAUGUGUUCCUCUGCUACUGAGAGGGGGAAAGAGCCUGCAGCUGGUUAUUAACCACCUAUUUAAGGACUGUGCCCGAGAAGGGGGCAUUCAUGAACAGGUAGUUAUUAACAUUUUCUGAAUCCAGGGAAUAUUUCUUAAGGAAUGGCUUUGCCACCGCAACCUUGGGGCAUUCAGGGACCAUUCUCUCUCUCUCUCUCUCCCUCUCCUUCUCUCCUAAUGAGGCAUUAAUCACCUCCCUGGUCCAGCUAGCUGGAGAUACAGCUACCAGAAGUUCUAUUCAAGGCUGACUAUUGAAGUGAAGCAGUAAUAAAUAGUUGAUUGCCCAUUAAACAUGAACUGUAAACUAGUCAAAAGACAUAUAUUGUAGGAAAUUAAUUGGGUUCACUAGCACUGUGCUCAUCUGCUACAUUGACUUUCUUUAAAUAGAACUGAGAGUCCAGGUGACAGCUCUCCAUUCAAAGCAUCUGCAAUUAGUAUAUUUACACUCCGGGAUUUACUUUGGAGAACAGGCUAAAUAACCAGCUGAUGCGCAUAAUUGGUGCAUAGCUAACUUAGACUAUGAGGUCACCACAGGCUAUCUUUUUCUUUCCUUAAUUUCAGGGCAGAAUAGAACAUGAAUCUGCUUGGGUUUUUUAAAGUCCUGUACCACAACAAGAGGUGACAAAUUGCAUUAGACGAGGGAGCGAUUUCAAACACAAGAUUCUGAAACUCACAAGGCCACUGUAUUUUAAAUUUAAAACUAGAUUAGGUAUUAGAGCCAUUUAUAGGUAUAAAGCAGGCUUCCUCAACCUCAGCCCUCCAGAUGUUUUGAAACUACAAUUCCCAUCAUCCCUGACCACUGGUCCUACUAGCUAGGGAUCAUGGGAGUUGUAAGCCAAAAACAUCUGGAGGGCCAAGGUUGAGGAAGCCUGGUAUAAAGUAAGGAUAUGCAAACCCAUCAUUUCCUUCUUGCAGGCACUCAGACACAUUGCACAUUCAGAACCAGGUCUUUAGCGUAUGCAGGUAAUAGGAAAAGUAAGAAUAUAAAAGGCUUCUUUUGUCGUACCAGAUGACUAUGGUAAGCCAGCAAGCAGGAGAGCAGUAGACCUCUCUCAUGGUUACUCUCCAGCAACUGAUACUCAUGACACUUCCUGUAGGUACUAUAUUAUUAUUAUUAUUAUUAUUAUUAUUAAAAUUUCUAUACAUCCCUUCUUCUGUAGAUCACAGGGUGGUUUACAAAAUAAAAACACAAAAAUAUGUAUUACAAUAACCAGUGAAAACAAUACCCCCGGUUUAGAAGGCCAUAGAUGAUCAGCAAGCGAUCGGGAGGGGAGAUAAGGGACUCUAGUGAUAAAGGAGGCUGCCCGGGAAGGGGGAGGUAAAGACAGCGAACUUGCAAGGAGAGGAGACAGGAAGAUUAAAGCAAUAAGGAGAGAAAUUAGAAGAAAAGGAGGAACAAAGAACUGUUCCAGCUAAGGAAAAGACACUAAGGCAAACAAGGGGGAAAGGGGUGUUGUAACAAAGCUGCUAAGCAGCUGAUUGGCAAGGGCUCGGGAGGGAGAUAAGGGACUCUAGAGAUAAAGGAGGCUGCCUGGGAGGGGGGAGGUAAAAGCACAUGGAUCCUCAGGAUUUUUGCAUUGGGUCACCCCAAAUUCACCAUCAGAUCACAUAGCAUGUCCAUGGCUACAGCCUACACCCAAAAAAAUCACGCCUCCACUGUUUCGUGGGGCCACAAUGGCACAAAAACCUGGUUACAAAGCUCGGAUCCACAUGUCUCCUCAGGAUUUUUGCAUUGGGCUACUCCAAACUCACCGUCAAAUCACAUAGCAUGUCUGUGGCCACAGCAUGAACCACAAAAAUCAUACAUCUACUGUUUCAUUCAGAAUAUUUUUUUCCUUGUUUUCCUUCUCUAAAAACUAGGUGUGUCUUAUGGUCAGGUGCGUCUUAUGUAGUGAAAAAUACGGUACUUGCAUGAGCUUCCACUAGUGGGACUCUUAGGCUGAAUCUGACACAUUUCCUUGUACCACAGUCCUGGCAAGCAUCCCCUAUUAGGAAGCUGUUAUUUGAUCUGGGGUGGAAGCUGCAGCUUGCAUUAGGGAGAAGGCUUAAAUCCCCUUUCCCCUUGCAGCAGGAUCAAUUUGGAUCAGGGCCUUAUGCAACUAUUUAAAAAAACCCAACAACAAUGAAAAUGCAGAAAUGCAUUUAACAAUCAUGUUGUUUAGCCCAGAGACAAUCCUCCCUAGCCAGAUUGCUGCAAAUAUAUUUGUUUAAAAUUCAAAUUUUAUACUUUUGCAACAAAAAUUCAUAUCUUUCUACAGCCUUUUCCAGAUGAAUCGUGCCUUAAGGCAUUAUCUAUCAUCCCAUAGAAGCUGCAUAAACACAUUUAUCACAAAUCCAUUUUUUUGCAGUUUUAAUCUAUCAUCAGGCUCCUAGACGAUAACUACCGAAAUUCCGGCUGUAACUACACACACACACACAUGCACAUUACAAUUUACCUCAUAGUUACCAUUUAAAGAAACUGAAAGUGCAAACCCAGUGUUUCUCUUGAGACAUCAUUACUUUUUAAAUUAUGCUUGGUAUUUUUGGAAUUCGGCAUGGGUUUGCAAGUGCUGAGUCAAAAUAGGAGCGAAUGAUUCCCUAGGACUAUUUCCUGCUUUCCAUAGUUCCACAUCAGCAGAGUAUAUCCAAUGCACAUUUUCCACAUGGAACCUUCAAAACUGGGUCUUUGAAAAAUGUAAAAACUUUCCCCCUCUAUUUUAGGAUUAUUUUUUUAAAUUCAUGACAGAGGAUUUCCCUUUUUUGUUUCCAUGGCUAUCCUGAUCUGGCUUUCUUCCUUUUAGAAUGAUAAGUUGUUAACCUUCCUUUUUCUCACCCCAUUUGAGCAGCAUUUGUUUUAUUUCAACAUAGUGUGUUCUUGUUGUUUGGCAGAUAUAUAUACUCUCAACUGGCUGAGACAGGUACAGGCAUGCGAGUGCCCUUCAGAUGCCCGUCAUCCUUGACUCUUGGACAUUCUGGCCUUGUCUGAUGUGAGUUGGAGUCCACUAGCUUGCCUAACCUGGGCUAAGGUGUAUCUCUGACAUGCAGUCUUCCUUGGGUGUAAAAUUCAUUGAGCUCAGUGACAUGUAUUUUGACUGCAUUUUUAUAUGUUUACAUUGGAUGAAAGUUGUUUGUUCUUUUUCUAUAAUAUUUAAAUCCCUACCUACUAGAACUAGAUGCAAAGCAGUGGCUUGGAGGUGGCUAUACGGACUUAGAAUUACUGGUCAAGAUGCCUCUGAACAGAUCUUCAGUUCAGAAAAUUGGUUUUCACUAUUAGAACAGGGCUCACAAAUAUUUUUUCCUCACCCAAAUCCAUUCCCUUCCCAUCUUUAUUUAGGAGAAACAAACAUACAUACUUCUUGUUUCUAGUGUUAAACGGUUAGAAGUAAGGUAACCUUGCUCACUGAUCUACUAUCAACCACUCAGAGAUGUAGCAGGAGAUGCUAAUCUACCUUCCACCACCACCACCCCUUUUCAUGCAAAAAUCAUGGUGCAAUUGCAGCUCCUUCUGCGUCACAUAUACACUUUCUCUUUUGGUGUCAACUUAAUCUUCAUGCUUUUCCUCUCUGCCUCUCUGUUUUUAACCGUUUUGAUGUUCUUUCAUUUCCCAUAUUCAAUUCACUCUCCUUCAAACAUCCAUCCAUUUCCCAGACAUCACAGGUAUACAAAAUGUGAAAACAGCAAAGAGGCUUGUGGCACCGUAAAGGCUCUUUGUUGUUUUAGCUUCAAGCAGCACACUCAUACACACACCCGGGAGCUGUGAGCAACAAGCACAUGGCUUUCCAAAACCAAAUGUUUUCGGAUAUUAAUACAGUGGUACCUCGGGUUACAGACGCUUCAGGUUACAGAUUCCGCUAACCCAGAAAUGGUACCUUGGGUUAAGAACUUUGCUUCAGAAUGAGAACAGAAAUCGCGCGGCAGCAGCAGGAGGCCCCAUUAGCUAAAGUGGUACCUCAGGUUAAGAACAGUUUCAGGUUAAGAACAGACCUCCAGAACGAAUUGAGUUCUUAACCCAAGGUACCACUGUACUGUUAAGUGACAUGAGAAGUAGCACUGCUCAAAUCCCUUCUUCUAGGUGACAAAUUUUAAAAAGGUGCGAAGUCCUCUUUACCUUUGCAUAUCUUUUUUUAAAAAAAAUUAUAUUUAUUACUUUUAUAGAUUACAAAAAGAGAAAAAGAACAAGAAAGAAAAAACAGAAAAAAACAAAAGAGAAAAGCAAAAAAACCCCAAAUACAAUACAAUACAAUACAAUACAAUACAAUACAAUACAAUACAAUACAAUAUAUAAACAAUACAAAACACACCCUAAACUCAAACCUAAACACCUUAAACUAAGCUAAACAAACCCCACUCCCUGGCCUUAACCCUAAAUGAAAGAAAACAAAAACAAUUUAAAAACAUACAUCAUCUCUUUUCCAUACUCUAUCUUUCAUUCCCUUGUUUCCUCGACCUCCUCUCACCUCCCUUUUUGUAUUCCACUUCUAUUAAUUGUUUCAGCAAAUCCUUUCCAUCUUUCUCCAUUUUCUGUAAUGUUGUAAAUAACGUAUUUUUUAACCUUAUUUUCCAUUAAAACUGAAAUACUUAUAUAUGCUUAACUCCUUAUAACAUUUCUACUAACCCCACAAAAAAUACAAAAAACCAUUCCACCAUUUUUCUAUCACUCAUUAGUUUUACCAUAAGUCUAUAUAUAAACUUUACAUUUUCCAAUCUUCUUCCACCAUCUCCUCUCCCAGGUUUCGGAUUCUGCCAGUCCUUUCCGUCAGCUCCAUAAAGUCCAUCAACCUGGUAAUCUUAUGUCCGAGGCUCUUAACUCUUUUCCAAGUCCCUUCUGCAGAUCUUCUUCAUUUUCUUUAAUGCUAAAAAGCAAAUCUCAGGGAAACUCCAACCUGUCAAUCCUUUUCUUCCUUCUGAACAAAUCAGCUAAAUUUCCAUAGUUAAAGCUACAGUCCAUAAAGUAUUUCAGAGCAUAUUUCAGGAUUCCUCCAAGUCCAAAGGCCCCCAAAACUUCAAUCUCCUCCAGGCCCGAGUCCAUGUCCCAAAAGUCAGUUAAUCCUUACAUAGAGGGCUCUUUCCAACUUUCCUUCUUUAAUCCAAACCAGGAUCCAUUCCUCAGAGUCUGACUUUUCCUAGAUUCAAUCAUAAAAGGCCUCGACUUAUAGUCCUCAAUUUGCUUCUGUAAAGCCACAGAUCUCACUUGUAUUAUUUUAUGCUCAACAACAGCAGCAUUCUCCUUCUCCUCCUUCUCCUCCACCAUUUGUCCUGCCAAAAUGGAUUCCUGUACCAAGUCCUGAAUUAUUUCUGUGUUGGUGUUCGCUUUUUGACUCAAAUUGGUCACUUUCUGAUCCAAAUUAUCAACUUUAAAAGCCAUGUCAUCCAUCUUCUUGUGAAGUUGUCCCAGCGAACAACUUAUCUUACAUAAAACAGUCACAAUGGCCUCUCCUGUCAACAUUUUUAAAUGGUCCAAGGUCACUCUCUGGUUCUCAGAAUCCUUAUCUGCAACUGGAAAUCCCCCAGUUACAGUCCUGUUACAGUUUCAAAAGCUCCCUCUAGAGAGAAACAGUCUCCACUUGUAUCAGUUCUUUCAUACAUUAAAGAAAAAUUUUCAGUUACUUUUCCUCUUUUUUAAGCGCAGAAAAGGACAAUGGAAACAGUAUCUUACUCUUAUUUAGCUAGCUGUCAAAUCCGUUCUGUCAAAUGCACUCUCUCCAAACGUCAUCUGGCAGCCCGUUCCCAGGUUCAGAGCAGUGGUAAUUUAAUUUUUCACUCUCUCCUGCAGGCUCACUAGAUCCAAAAUUUCCCCCUCUUCUCCUGCUUCCAAGGGGGGUUUUGUAUUUUAAACCGGUGGAAAUUUGAUCCUUUGCCAAAAGCUUUGAAAGGCUUUAACUUGUAACGUCUUUGCUUCAGUCUAUUUACAAAAACGGGAGGCGGACUUCCUGUUUACAACCUUCCCGUUUCAAUGCCAAAUUAAAGUAUUUAAAAAUCAAAUUUUCCGUUUUACUCACGCGUAGUUGUUUAAAAUCCAAUUGUCCACAGGAAAAAGUCAGCGCUCUCCGGCAACAGCAAUGCGGCUUCACUCCGUGAAAGAAGCAGUCGAUUCAAAGCACCGCGCCACUCACCCCACGUCGCUCCGGACCCCCAAAACAGGGUUUCCCCGCGAGUAGGGGAGGCGCAAAAGGUGCCAGCCAAAUCCCAGGUUCACAAGCUUCUCCCGCUUGUGAUUUCAAUGGGUCUCCACCUUCGCCGUGGCGGUCAGACCCUGUUUUUCACGGAGCAAGUUCCUCCCGAACGGAGGAGCUCCGCCAUUGCCGGAGGCGCCAACCUUUGCAUAUCGUUACUCUCAUAUAGGAAUGGCUGCUUGAACCGUAGAAGAUGACAAUUGUAGCAAGUCAUAUUUGUGUGAAACAAGAAAAGCUGAAAUAUAAAUACAUUUAUAUUUAUGAACUGGCUUUUUAAUUACUUAGCAGAACAUACAAUUUAAAAUAGAUAGUAUAGAAGAAAGCAUUCUAGUUUUUUUAUUUUAUUUUAAAGGUGACUGCAAUGCUAUCCAUUGAAUGGCACUGCCAUUGAAUUUACUUCCAAGCAGACAUGCCUAAGACAUGCACUGUAGGACUACCAUUCUGGGUGCUCAUUCUUAGAAGUAAAUCCUUCAAUUUUAGCUGAAUUUAUUUCUGAAUAACCUGACCGCAUGUCUCUAGAUUAUCUAACAUGAAUAUAACCAAUUUGCAGAAAAAAUUAAGAAAAAAAGAGAUUCUGAGAGAAAAUGAGACUGACAGAUUAGUCCUUCCCUACUUUUGAGUAGCCUUGCCUAGGAUUGUGCUAUAAGGUAUAUAAUCCUGUACACAUUCACCUGUGAGCAAGUCCCAUUGAGGUCAAAGGGACUAACAUCAUAGCAGACAUAUCUAAUACAGCAUGGUUAAUCUGUGAUAAGCAUGUUUGUGAACAAGCAAGCAAUCAUUUGGGUGGCAUGUUAUUCUUUUGUUUCUGGUGAUGGACUCAGUCCAGACUUUACUGUCUGGAUGCCAAAUGGAACAGUUCAUUAAAGGUUCUUCCUUUCAUUAUUCUUCUGUCAUUUAAUGAGGUAUUGAUCUGUGAUUAAGUGAUGCUUAGAGGAUACCAGUCACAAAAUGAACAACUAGUUACACUUUAAAAUCCAUCAGCCUAUCAACUAAGAUAUUGAAAUGUGAAGCUUUAUUCUGAGUCCUUACUAGGUCUGUACCAAUAUAAUAAUUUUUGGGGUUUUUUUUGUUAAGCUUGAUCCCAAUAUCUGCUUCCUAGGGUGCUUGGGAUGAGGCACAUUGGAAUGAAGUGUUAGGCCAGCGGUGCUCUCAAGUAUUAGUUACCUCAUGUUCACAUUUUAGCAGUGUUGCAAUGACAUCAUUUUCUGGACCUUGGUGACAUUGCUCCGGGCAAUAAUCUAGAUCAGGUCACCUAGUAAAGGACCCUUGGAUGGUAAAGUCUAGUCAAAGGCAAUGAUGGGGUUGCAGCCAUCAUCUCGCUUUUCAGGCUGAGGGAGCCGGCGUUUGUCCACAGACAGCUUUCCAGGUCGUGUGGCCAGCAUGACUAAACCGCUUCUGGCGCAACAGAACACCAUGACGGAAACCAGAGUGUACAGAAACACCACUGACCUUCCCACUGCAGCAGUACCUAUUUAUCUACCUGCACUGGCAUGCUUUCAAACUCUAGGUUGGCAGGAACUGGGACAAAGUAACAGGAGCUCACUCUGUCAUGGGGAUUCAAACCACCGACCUUCCGAUCGGCAAGCUCAAGAGACUCAGUGGUUCAGACCACAGCGCCACCCGUGUCCCAGGUCACCUAGUAAAUAUACAAGGUUCUAUUGCGUGGGUAUUACAUUAUAUGCAGGGAGGAAUUUAUUAUUAUUAUUAUUAUUAUUAAUGUUAUGUACUUUGUGUUUAUAUGUUGUAAACCAAUCUUUGGAUGAAGGGCGGUAUAUAAAUUUAAUAAAUAAUAAUAAUAAGAUGGUUCAUAAAAAGAAGUUGGCAGCAAAUCUCUAAAAAGCAAGUCAACCUGUCAUGAAACCUGCUUAGUGAAAAACACCCUCCCCUCCCCCCAAAAAUGGCAAAUUUCUUUAUCGUUCUCCUCUUCUGGGGCUUCCCCUUUUCUAGUUCUGCUCAAUAGUGGAUCUCAAUGGACAGGGGGGGAGAGAGAAAGAUGAAAGAAGAUUGUCUCUUAGUUAAUCUGAACUUGGGCCAUAUAAGUCUUUGAAUAUAUAUAUAUUUUUUAAAAACAGAAUUUAAAAACUGUCUCACUAACAAAUUAGUUUUCAGUGAAACUCCAACAUGAGCAACCAACCUGCCUGUUACCUUCUAAACCAAUGGAAGCUUUUCAUGAUGUCUUCAAGCAUGGCACCAGAAAAAGAACAAGUCAGGAGGUUGCUAGAGCAUGCACAGAGUUCCAAGGGGACUGGUGUCUCAGGCAAAGCUCAUGAAAUAUUCUCUCAGCCAUAGCUUACACCCAAGAAUCCAGAAGAAAGACCACAUCUACCAGUAAAUAUGAAUAUUACUAAAUUUGACAGCAGCUCAAAUGUGGGAUAACUGUAAAAUGUUGACCUCUCCUGCAUGUCAGCUAUCCGAUACUGCAAAAUGGCAACUGUGCAUGUCAGAUACUAUAUCAAAUGCUGACGGCAACUGCAUGUCACUUUUCAAAUAUCAGUAAGUACUGGCUGCUGCAUGUCUGAUGCUAUCAAAUACUGACUGCUACUGCAUGUCAGCUGUCAGAUCCAAUCAAAUGCUAGCUACAACUGUAUAUGUCAGUUGUCACAUAUUGUCAGAUGUUAGCAGCUGCAUGUGAAAUGUCUCUUUUAGUAAUGGACCACUAUUAUAUUUCAGCUCUUGGAUGUUGAAUGCUCCAGCAAAAUAUUUUGUUGUCAAAUACUGGUGCUGAAUAUACUUUAUUCACCGCAUAUCUGGAGAAUGCUCACAUAUACAGAAGAUAUGAGCCAUCAGAAUUUUAGAGGAAAAUUUUGGUGGGAGAGAUGGUUUCGGAUAACACAACAGGGAACAGCGGCCCAAUGCAGCACGGGGAAUGUGACCUAUAUGUCUUUCAACCAUUAAAAAUCUAGUCAGAAGUCUGAAAAUCUAGGUGAUGAUGAGAGCACUGCAGUUAGGAAUUAAUCAUUCCCUGAAAAAAUGUCAGAAAGGAAAUGGCAGGGAGAGAAGAGAGGUGGUUACAGAAAGAGAUAGAAGUGCGUUGCAGAGGGAGAGAGAUGGCAAAUGGGAGCUUAACCCACUUAAUCUAACCCCACCCAUCACUGGCUUUGGCCUCACCUGCUACCUGCCUGCCUACCUACCUGCAGUCCUUGACAGACUACCCCCAAGGGAACCUGUGCCUUCAGGUAGUAGUAUAUGAGAGAAAAUAACUAGCAUGAUGAGAAACUUCACUUGUUUCAGAAUUUUGACUAAUGUCUCCUGAUAUCUCAUGCCACUGCUUAACUUAAUUCUACCUCCAUACACUGCAUUGUGUCGCUUAACUUUACCCCUAAAUGCAAUGUGAAGGCUUGCUGCUUCUUUUCGUCUCAUGUGGGGCCUGCAAUUUGUGCGAUUUAAUAUCAUAUGCCUAUACCCAUCUAUCUCCUGCAAUGGUGGAGAGCUCUGAGGCAUGUUUCAAUUUGUGCAGAGCCAGGCCAAAUUGGAGACAUCUCCUCACAGCCUACAAUUCCCACAAAACAGAACCAGGGACUUUGAGUGUAUUCUCACUUUGGUGGACUCAUAAACUAAUCUGUGCCUUAGCACUGUCGAUUUUAUUUCUUCAUUAAUUUACUCUAUACGGUUUAUAAGCCAGCCUCUACAGGAGUACUCUGGGAAGCUUACAGGAAUAAAUAGGGUACAUUAAAAGGAGCAUUUUCUAUGGAAGAAACUUAAUCUCAUACAGGAAUUAGUCUGGCUCAUUACUCUUACUGGGUGAGAUAUAGAGAAAAUAAAAAAAACCAGAGAUAUAGUAGGCUGCAAUAUAUUGUCUGAUGAUGGGCCUUUGGAUAUAGGGUUUCCCGCCACACAAAGAAUAAACCCUCAGUCCAAAGGAGCCUCAUUUUUUUUUAUCUACUAAAUCAAAGAGAAAUACUUUAUGGAGUUUUGAUCUGCAAUUACAUUGGACAAGUCUGAAGUAGGAUAGUGUGUCAGAAUCGCUCAAUUAGCCUGGCCAUUAUUGUACUCCGUGAGAAGGUGUGUUUGCAUCAGCAGGGGACAGAAAAUCAUUAGGGAUGGUUGAUGCCUUGGUUGGUUUCUGGAUAGAAACCUGUGGGAAGUACAGUAUAAAAGGGUUGAUACCAGAGUGCAGGCAACAGAUAGAACCUGAAUCAUUUUUAAAAAUCAUUUUAGUUUCCAUGGAUACCAUUGCCCUGCAUAUGCUUCGCCUAAGAAGUAUGUCAGAGUCAAAUCACACUGCUUAAAGCUAAAUAAACUGUGGAGUAGUGACGUAGCCCAACACUUUGUUAGCAGGGAGGUCACUCAUCCAAUUUGCCAAUUCAGGUACUUAAUACUGGUUGCCUGCAAAAGUCGGCAGGAAGAAUUCCAUGCGAAAACUUCUACAGUGAAUUUCAGCAGGUUCUAUUUGUGCUGUCCCACUUUCAGUAUCGACUGAAUUUUGGGUGUGUGUUCAAGCAUAUAUUUGUUAAUAAAGGUUCAAUGCAUCAUGGGUUAGAUCAAUGGUUCCCAAAGUACCGUCCUGCGGAGGAUUACUGGGGAAGGGCAGUAGGGGGCUCUAGAGGUGUAAAUAACUAUCACUGGACUGAGUUCAUCAAUUUUCUUGAAUUAAUUAAACUACAGUGAUACCUUGGUUCUCAAACUUAAUCCGUUCCGGAAGUCUGUUCCAAAACCAAAGCGUUCCAAAACCAAGGCACGCUUUCUCAUAGAAAGUACAGUGGUACCUCGGUUUAAGAACAGCCCUGUUAAUGAACUAUUUGGUAUAUGAACUCCACAAAACCGGAUGUAGUGUUCCGGUUAGCAAACUUUACCUCAGUCUACAAACGUAAGCCGAACGGUGGAAGGGCACCUGCAGCGAGAGGCCUCAUUAGGGAAAGCGCGCCUCGAUUUAAGAACAGCUUUGGUUUAAGAACGGACUUCUGGAAUGGAUUAAGUUUGUAAACCGAGGUACCACUGUAAUGCAAAACAGAGUAAUUCAUUCCAGACUUUUAAAAACAACCCCUAAAACAGCAAUUUAACAUGAAUUUUACUAUUUAACAAGACCAUUUAUCCAUAAAAUGAAAGCAAUAAUCAAUGUGCUGUACUAUAAAAUAAAUAAGACAGUAUUGUAGAUGAUAAAAAAAAAAAAAUUCUUACCUGCACUGAUGGUAGUCAUUGUUUGCAUGGGGGGCCUUCAUCCAUUUCCACAGUUACACAAUCAAUCAAUCAGUAGCUGAACUGGGUUCCACACAGUCACAAAAACAAAUUAACUGAAAAAGCCUCAAAAACAAAAACGCAAAAUAAAUAGCAAAAACAAAAGUGCCAAACUUAAUCCGUUCUGGAAGUCCAUUUGACUUCCAAAAUGUUUGAAAACCAAGGAACAGCUUCUGAUUGGUGCAGGUGCUCCAGAAACAAUAGCCGACAGCCGCAUAGACGUUCGGCUUCGAAAAAACGUUCAAAAACCAGAACACUUACUUCUGGGUUUUCGGCAUUUGAGAACCAAGGCGUUUGAGUACCAAGGUACUACUGUAAAUAGUUUUAAUUGGAUUUUGAGUAAAUGUGCAAUUAAUUGUUUUGAAUUGUAUUACGCUACCUUCCUUAGUGAGUUGUGCAAACUGCUAUUCUGAAUUAUUAUUUUUCAUAGGGUAGGGUAGGGGGCACUGUGGAUAAGUUUAUGGACCAAGCGGGCAGUAACCCCAAAAGGUUUGGAAACCACUGGGUUAGAUAAGAUAGGUACAGUAUUUGUCUUCAGUUGCACCAUGUAACAGACGUACCAUCUUAAAUCUACAUUAAUAUUUCACUGUUCUUGCCCGCUCAUAUUUGAUACUUCACUGUAGAUCAUAUCCAACAUCACAGGAUUGUUAAAUGCUGUCAAGAUUCUAAUGCUGUAAAGGAGAACAUUAGCUGACAGUGUUGCUGUUCCACUAAUAGGUGGUUGCUGUUUCUGGAACCAUGCUAUGGUCAACUUCAUAAAUGCUCACGUUCUUAGUAGAUACACUUUUCUUUUCAGCAUCCACAUGGGCCUCUUAAACUCCCAGGAGAAGGAGCAUGUGACGAACCACCCUCAAGCAGGAAGUUUUGAAGGGGGCUUCUUAAAAAAGUGUGAGUGGAGUUAUUUAGAAUCCUCCGCAUGAAAGGCAACUUUGCACAAUCAAGGUUCCCAUUCACAGGGAGGAAUCCUAAGUGUUUUCAUCCAAAUGCAAGCAGUUUCACACUGCUCCUUAAAAAACAUCUGAAAACAGGGUUUAGAGGAGACAUGUUGACUGAUCACAAAGGGCUUUCAAAUAGGCCUGUCUUGCUCCUUCAAACCUCCAGAAACCAGAGGUGGAUCAUUCCACACAUCCAUCAAAAUAGGCCUGUGGAGUGGUGGGGAGGAUAAGGAUGCUGUUUCCAGUGCCCCACUCCCUGCCCUGCAGCUAACCAACCGAAGACAUUUUCUGUGUGUGACUGUACUCUUUAUUUUCUCCAGCACGUCUGGUCCAAGUUAUCCCUCAUGAUGAAUUACUGUCAAGUACACAAUUUUGUCUGUGGAGCAAACUGGCAUCUGGGACAAACCACAGUCUAUGGGUUCGCCUUGCUUCCUCCUAUGAGGCCAGGAACACUUAGCACUUUAUGUAGUGUUAUUUUAUCCUCCUCACUCAAUAACACAUUUAUGUCCCAAUAACUUCCCUGGCGCAGGU